GAUGAUGAUGAAAACUACAACCAUUCCAGAAACAAGUUCAGAUAUCCAGGACUUCUUUCCUGAUUACUCUCAUGCAAUGUCAUCUACCAGCAGACAAUUCCAUGUGUUAAUUGUCAUUAGUGUCAUUUAUCACAUUGUAACAAAUAUUAAUUAUAAUCAUUGAGUUAUUAUUUGCAAUGCUAACAAAUCUACAUUACGUAGCGGCGUUGGCUGAACAAUUACAAUAAACGCAUACGAAAGGAAGUCGGCGCAGAGUUAAAAAA